GUCUGCAGCCAUACCACCCUGAAUGUGCCCGAUCUCGUCUGAUCUCGGAAAUUGCAAUUGGUAUUUAAUACAAAGUAAGACUACAAAAUCUGCAAUCU
ensembl:rRNA 5S_rRNA 5S ribosomal RNA